rnacentral:rRNA from 1 species
UACGUAGGCAGCGAGCGUUGUUCGGAGUUACUGGGCGUAAAGGGUGUGUAGGCGGUUGUUUAAGUUUGGUGUGAAAUCUCCCGGCUCAACUGGGGAGGUGCGCCGAAUACUGAAUGACUUCGAGUGCGGGAGAGGAGAGUGGAAUUCCUGGUGUAGCGGUGAAAUGCGUAGAUAUCAGGAGGAACACCGGUGGUGUAGACGGCUCUCUGGACCGUAACUGACGCUGAGACACGAAAGCGUGGGUAGCAAACAGG